rnacentral:rRNA from 1 species
GAAACUGCGAAUGGCUCAUUAAAACAGUUAUAGUUUAUUUGGUAAUCAAACUUACAUGGAUAACCGUGGUAAUUCUAGAGCUAAUACAUGCUGUUGCGCCCGACUCACGAAGGGCCGUAUUUAUUAGAUAUCAGCCAAUAAGCAUCUGCUAUUGUGGUGACUCAUAGUAACUUAAUCGGAUCGCAUGGGCUUGUCCCGCGACAAACCAUUCAAGUUUCUGCCCCAUCAUGCUUUCGAUGGUAGUGUAUUGGACUACCAUGGCUUUCACGGGUAACGGAGGAUUAGGGUUCGAUUCCGGAGAGGGAGCCUGAGAAACGGCUACCACUUCCACGGAAGGCAGCAGGCGCGUAAAUUACCCAAUCCUGACUCAGGGAGGUAGUGACAAGAAAUAAUGGGUCGGGGUUCUGCCCCGGGACUGCAAUGAGACGAAUUUAGACCCCUUAUCGAGGACCAAUUGGAGGGCAAGUCUGGUGCCAGCAGCCGCGGUAAUUCCAGCUCCAAUAGCGUAUAUUAAAGUUGUUGCAGUUAAAAAGCUCGUAGUUGGAUUUCUGGUAGUGGGUAAGAGCUCGUUGCACGUUGCUCGCGUUCAUUGCCAUCCUUCUGUUAACCUAUCAGGGCAUUCUAUUGUCAGUUAGGGGCUCAGAUAUUUUACCUUGAGAAAAUUAGAGUGUUUCAGGCAGGCUUGUGCCCGGAUACAUUAGCAUGGAAUAAUGGAAUAGGACUUUAGCCUCUUCUGUUGGUCUGAGGGGUUGAAGUAAUGAUUAAUAGGGAUAGUUGGGGGCAUUAGUACUUAACUGUCAGAGGUGAAAUUCUCGGAUUUGUUAAAGACUAACUUAUGCGAAAGCAUUUGCCAAGGAUGUUUUCAUUAAUCAAGAACGAAAGUUAGGGGAUCAAAGACGAUCAGAUACCGUCCUAGUCUUAACCAUAAACUAUGCCGACUCGGGAUCGGGGGCCAGAGUUAACUGCCUUCGGCACCGUAUGAGAAAUCAAAGUCUUUGGGUUCUGGGGGGAGUAUGGUCGCAAGGCUGAAACUUAAAGGAAUUGACGGAAGGGCACCACCAGGCGUGGAGCUUGCGGCUCAAUUUGACUCAACACGGGGAAACUUACCAGGUCCAGACAUAGUGAGGAUUGACAGAUUGAUAGCUCUUUCUUGAUUCUGUGGGUGGUGGUGCAUGGCCGUUCUUAGUUGGUGGAGUGAUUUGUCUGGUUAAUUCCGUUAACGAACGAGACCUUAGCCUACUAAAUAGUCGCAACAAUUACGAUUGGCUGCGUCUUCUUAGAGGGACUUUGCAAGCAACUGCAAGGAAGUUUGAGGCAAUAACAGGUCUGUGAUGCCCUUAGAUGUCCUGGGCCGCACGCGUGCUACACUGACGCAUACAGCGAGUAUCACCAGCUCCGUGAGGCUGCUGGUAAUCAGCAAUAUGCGUCGUGCUGGGGAUAGAUCUUUGGAAUUUUUGAUCUUGAACGAGGAAUGCCUAGUAAGCGCAGGUCAUCAGCCUGCGUUGAUUAAGUCCCUGCCCUUUGUACACACCGCCCGUCGCUCCUACCGAUUUCGAGUGGUCCGGUGAACCCUUUGGACCGAGAGCGCCUCGUGUGCUUUUGGAAAGUCGAGUAAACCACAUCACUUAGAGGAAGGACAAGUCGUAACAAGGUUUCCGUAGGUGAACCUGCAGAAGGAUCA